GAGUGCUUGACACUAACUUUUUGACCAGUUUGCCUCUCCAUUGUUUUGGGCAAGUCUAACAAGAUAUAAUUCAAUUACUAGAUAUUUCUCAGGUGUCUAGCUGUGGAUUACUUAUUUUCCUUCUUGAAAAGAUUGUUGAUGGAACAGCUGAACACCUGUGGAAUUUUUAUGUUUUCCAAAGAUCAGCUCAUACAAGCCAGUUAAGAAGUAUGGAUCAGCUCUCCCUGUGUACCUAUGAAGAAUAAUGCAAUAAUGCUAUACCUUGCUGCACAGUUGUCUAGCUGUAUUGAGCUAAAUAUUCAUUCCAAUAAACAUUUCACUUUCAUAGUCAUGUUAUGUUACCAAAAGGACCAGACAAAAACAUGGAGGGGAAGAAUAACUUGAAAUCAAGGGGAAAUAUUUUUAUUUAAGUAAAGAUAAAGGAAUAAAUACUUUGAAUUUAUAGCCUGAUGAUUGUCUAGCAUCUUUACAUGAAAUAACACUGCAGUAUUUGUUCACUCUUAAGAAUAUUGUAUUUAAUUUCCAUAAAAAUCUCAUUAAACUCAAGAUUGUGUUGAUAGUAGAACUCAGUAACUUAAAGGAGGAAGGGAGUGUUAUAGGGAGAUAACAACUGUCUUAAAAACAAUUCCUAAAUCUGAGUGUUAAGUAGUUAGAGUGACAUGUCUUAGAGAAGGGCAUGCCAGAGGUGGUGUACAACCACAGGGGACCCUCCGAUUAGACUUGAAUUUAAAGCUAUCCUGUGGAGCUUUUAAUAGGAAUACUCUCACAUUGCCCUCUAUUUGUAGUGACAUGGUUUGGAGCCCAAACCCAAUUAUUUUCUUUCUUAUUCUGUUACUUCAUCAUUUAUUUUCUCCCCAGGGUGAUAUGCCUCAUAUUCCUUAAUGAAGUCAGCAGGAGCUCUGGGGGCAGUUCUUCAGAUGAUGUAAAUUCACCCCAGCAUCUCAGUACCCCUCACUGAAGAGCAGGCUCACUUCUGUCUGACCUCACACUUACUGCAGUCAGAGUAUCUGAAGUGACCUGAUCUAGUUUAAUUUUUUGUUGGUGUGUUUUGCAAGAUAUUGAAAUAUUGUAACUUAAAAUAGUGGUUUCUAGAAGGCGCUACCUCUAGUAAAGAUCAUGUUUGUGCCCAGAAAGAUAUUCAUACAGAAUCAGAUGAACAUUUUAUACUAUUAGUUGCUAAAGAUUGGCAUUUUGACUCCUGAGGAAAAAAUAAAUGCACCAACAGGCUAAGUCAUGAUCUCCCUCAAGCAUUUUUGAACUGCAAAGUUAGCAUUUGGGUAUUGUUAUUAACAUAAUAAACAGAAUUACAUUGCUUUCUAAAAUUAGAUUCUUCCAAAGCAUACUCCUUCCCCAAGGUAGGUUACUGCAGUCUUUAGCUUAGUGAUUCUUUUCUGUCUCAAGGCAGAAUAAGUGAAAUUAGACGGUAUGACUAAUUAAUGCAGAACUUAAACACAGAGUAAUAAAUUAGACAUGAUUUCUUGCUGCUUUCGACUUUUUCUUGUAUUUGUUGGCCAGUUUUAUCCUUUGACAUCCACUAGCAUUGUGAGCUUGUGUGUCAGGAGAGUUUCAGAGUAAGAGUGAUACCCUACAGUAUUUAUUGCCUAUUUCUUUUAUCUUUUUGUUGUCCUUUCAGGGUAUAGAUUAGACUCAAGGACACUUUUAGCACUGUCUAGCACAAUAGCCUACCCCUUACUUUUUAUGUUAAUGAAAACCUGCC